CCUACGGGUGGCAGCAGUGGGGAAUAUUGCACAAUGGGCGAAAGCCUGAUGCAGCAACGCCGCGUGAGCGAUGAAGGCCCUCGGGUCGUAAAGCUCUGUUCUAAAGGAAGCUAAUGACGGGACUUGAGGAGGAAGCCCCGGCUAACUACGUGCCAGCAGCCGCGGUAAGACGUAGGUGGCUAGCGUUAUUCGGAAGUACUGGGCGUUAAGGGUGCGUAGGUGGUUUCUUAAGUCAGAGGUGAAAGGCUACGGCUCAACCGUAGUAAGCCUUUGAAACUGGGAAACUUGAGUGCAGGAGAGGAGGGUGGAAUUCGUGGUGUAGCGGUGAAAUGCGUAGAUAUUAGGAAGAACACCAGUUGCGAAGGCAGCUCUCUGGACUGUAACUGACACUGAGGCACGAAAGCGUGGGGAGCGAACAGGAUUAGAUACCCGAGUAGUC
rnacentral:rRNA from 1 species